rnacentral:ribozyme from 1 species
UGGGUGCGAUAGACUCACCUCCACGUGGUGCACCCUGGGCAACGUUUACUCAUACGGCAAAAAUGUGGUG